AAGGGUUAUAUAAGUGGGUAUCGAUAUACGCGAUAUGUAUAUGCGAUAUAUUGUUUAGUGACUAUAGUAUUAUCUUAUUCUCGUUAAGGAUUUGGACGAGACGUGGAUGACCGAAGACGUUCAGAAGGACAAGUGGUAUUGCAAAGCGAAUAAGGGAUGAAUCGAGUAAGCGAAACGAUGUGGCGAAUAGAGUACGGCUAGAGAUGGUCUAGAAAUUAUGAGAUGCAUAGAUUGUGAAAGUGGAAAGAUGAGAUAGAGAUGUGAGACUGGAGUCAGAUUUAAGGCAAGUAUCCUAAACCCUUCUCUUGGAUAUAUUGCAAAUAUUCUGAUCCAUUCCUUUGGUAUCUGUUGCAAGAAUUCGUACCUUUCCUUUCUAUAUUUAAAAGUGCAUAUGUUCGGAUCUAUUCUUUCUAUUCUUCAAGUUUCUAAAGAAUUUCCGUUUUAUUAAUUAAUUCGAAGUUCAGAUUGUCAUUGAAGCAUGUGUUGCUCAGUGAUAGUUAGAGCUUUGAAUGAAUUGGGAUCUUCUUGAUUAUUCAACCCGCCAUUGUCAUGCUGGUUUAGCAGGCUAAAUUCAGUUGCUUAGCCGAUAAUGGAGGAUACUGAAUAGUUGAGGAUUUCCUGAACUAUGAUUUAUGAAAGGAUGGACUGUGACUUAUGAAAAGUUUAUUAUCAAAGUUUGAUUUGGAAUUAUUCAGUUGUUGAUGAUGAUUAUGAUUAUGUUCUGUUAAUUUACAUUGGCUUCUUUAAUUGAAUUAGAGAAUUGGAUUAUUGUUUUUAUAUAAACCUGUGGACCAGAUUCGUGGUCAUGUUAGGCCAAUGAGUGCCUUGGAUCCAGUGAUAGAGCAUGGCGGGGCCUGCUCGGGGUUAGUGCGGAACUGAUCAGCUGCCUAACCUUGGUUUUAAUUAAAAUGUGAUAGUCCAAUUCAAUAAUUCUUUUGGAAAGAUUGAAUUCCUCAGUGUUCAAUUGCUACAAGGUAUUGUGAUUUUCUUAUACAAGACCUAAACUCGUGAACUCAGGUUGAAUCCUUUUAUAUCUUGAACUCGUGAACUUCUGUUAUAUCAUUUCAGAAUUAUCAUUGUUUAUUAUUACUUGCUGAGCAUUGUUGCUCACCCUUGCUAUUCCUUUCUAACCAUUUCAGAAAGGCUUAAAGAUGAGAUGAUUGAUUGAGAUUGUGAGUAAGGCUAAUGCUAGGCGAGGAGACAGAGGUGGCUAGACUGUGAUGGUUGCUGAGCAUUGUUGCUCACUCUUGCUAUUCCUUUCUUAAUCAUUUCAG
rnacentral:lncRNA from 1 species